UGAUAGCAGGUUUCCAUUAACUGCUGCUCCUAUCAACAAAAAGGGAGGUCCGUAGUUACAUUGCAGAGUUUAAGGAAGGGGGAGACGUACUUCAGUGUGACCUUUGACAUCAUAAACUUGCAGUUCAGAUGUUGAGAAGAAGCUGAUUGUUAAAGAAGAAGCUUCUUUAGACCACAGACCUCGUGAUGACCUGCAUUACCUAAAGCCCCCCCACAUAAAGGAGGAACAGGAGGGAGUCUACAUCAGUCUGCCAGGAGAGCAGCUCAAUGGGAAGG